GAUGAACGCUGGCGGCGUGCCUAAUACAUGCAAGUCGAGCGAACAGACGAGGAGCUUGCUCCUCUGACGUCAGCGGCGGACGGGUGAGUAACACGUGGAUAACCUACCUAUAAGACUGGGAUAACUUCGGGAAACCGGAGCUAAUACCGGAUAAUAUAUUGAACCGCAUGGUUCAAUAGUGAAAGACGGUUUUGCUGUCACUUAUAGAUGGAUCCGCGCCGCAUUAGCUAGUUGGUAAGGUAACGGCUUACCAAGGCAACGAUGCGUAGCCGACCUGAGAGGGUGAUCGGCCACACUGGAACUGAGACACGGUCCAGACUCCUACGGGAGGCAGCAGUAGGGAAUCUUCCGCAAUGGGCGAAAGCCUGACGGAGCAACGCCGCGUGAGUGAUGAAGGUCUUCGGAUCGUAAAACUCUGUUAUUAGGGAAGAACAAAUGUGUAAGUAACUAUGCACGUCUUGACGGUACCUAAUCAGAAAGCCACGGCUAACUACGU
rnacentral:rRNA from 1 species